CCUACGGGAGGCAGCAGUGGGGAAUAUUGCACAAUGGGGGAAACCCUGAUGCAGCCAUGCCGCGUGUGUGAAGAAGGCCUUCGGGUUGUAAAGCACUUUCAGUUGUGAGGAAAGUUUAGUAGUUAAUACCUGCUAGAUGUGACGUUAGCAACAGAAGAAGCACCGGCUAACUCCGUGCCAGCAGCCGCGGUAAUACGGAGGGUGCGAGCGUUAAUCGGAAUUACUGGGCGUAAAGCGCACGCAGGCGGUCUGUUAAGCUAGAUGUGAAAGCCCCGCGCUCAACGUGGGAGGGUCAUUUAGAACUGGCAGACUAGAGUCUUGGAGAGGGGAGUGGAAUUCCAGGUGUAGCGGUGAAAUGCGUAGAGAUCUGGAGGAACAUCAAUGGCGAAGGCAACUCCUGGCCAAAGACUGACGCUCAUGUGCGAAAGUGUGGGUAGCGAACAGGAUUAGAUACCCUGGUAGUCCACACCGUAAACGCUGUCUACUAGCUGUUUGUGAAUUUAAUUCGUGAGUAGCGAAGCUAACGCGAUAAGUAGACCGCCUGGGGAGUACGGCCGCAAGGUUAAAACUCAAAGGAAUUGACGGA
rnacentral:rRNA from 1 species